rnacentral:rRNA from 1 species
CCUACGGGUGGCAGCAGUGGGGAAUAUUGCACAAUGGGGGAAACCCUGAUGCAGCGACGCCGCGUGAGUGAAGAAGUAAUUCGGUAUGUAAAGCUCUAUCAGCAGGGAAGAAAAUGACGGUACCUGAGGAAGAAGCCCCGGCUAACUACGUGCCAGCAGCCGCGGUAAUACGUAGGGGGCAAGCGUUAUCCGGAUUUAAUGGGUGGAAAGGGAGCGUAGACGGUGAGGCAAGUCAGAAGUGAAAGGCCGGGGCUUAACUGCGGGACUGCUUUUGAAACUGGCGAACUGGAGUGCGGGAGGGGUAAGCGGAAUUCCUGGUGUAGCGGUGAAAUGCGUAGAUAUUAGGAGGAACACCGGUGGCGAAGGCGGCUUACUGGACUGUAACUGACGUUGAGGCUCGAAAGCGUGGGGAGCAAACAGGAUUAGAUACCCCUGUAGUC